CUAUCUAUUUCUCCUCCAUUUCCAUCUUUUUUUCUGGAAAAAAAAACAAUGGCUGAAGUUUUUCAAGUGGUGCUCCAAAUUCCUGUUCCAAACCAAAAUUCAAAUCAAGGUUAAUUAAUUAAGUCCCAGCAACACCCAAUCAAUUUUGAGAAACGAAUUUCAGAUUUGGAAGUUUUUUCAAGCAAAGCGCCGAAGGGUUCUUUAAUAGUGGACUGUUUUUCUCCCAGUUUUUUCACUCAAGAGCAAUCCCCACUUCCAACCGAGAGGUUGUGAGUUCGAGUCUCCCAAGAGCAAAGUGGUAAGUUAUUGGAAGUUAUUGGAGGGAAGUAUGCCGGAGGUCUAUUUGGAAAUAGCCUCCCUACCCUGACCCCAGGGUAGAGGUAAGGUAUGCGUACACACUACCCUUUACUGGGCUGUUGUUGUUAUAUAUAUAUAUAUAAACUUUCACUUCGACAAACGCCCAUCCAUUAUUCAAAAAAAUCCAAAAAUGAGUACUAAAAUUCAACCUCAAAUUCGUGAUAUAGCUCCUAAGUUCAAUGUUAAACAAUUACCCAAACAAACAAUAUCAAAUGAUUCCAACAAAUAACUCCAAAUCAGCCUUCGAGCAAUCGAAGCUAAGUGACCAAUCAUGUAGAUAUAGAAUCCCAACUUAUCUUUUUAUCAAUAGGAUUUUAGAAUCCAAAAAUUCUCAGCUAAAUCGGUUUGACAACAUGCGAUUGAUGUGUAUUCAAAAGUGGUUUGUCAGCUUGGUUGAGGUUUGAGAUGAGAGAUGAUGAGUUGGUUGGAUCAUCAUCUUUGAUUGUAUUGGAAGAGUUGUUGAAUGUCUAUAAUGUAAAAAUUCUACGGACUAAACUACACUUUAGUAGAGUUGUAACUGGAAUGAGAAAGGUAGUUAUUGACUACCUAGUGUUAGUUACGGGUAUGAAGGAAUUUAUAAAGCAGAUUCAUACUUUCACUUUAUUUCCUCAUUUCUCAUGAUCAGCUCAUCGUAUAGAGUACAAUUUAAUGAAAUGAAUACAAUACACUUUAUUUCCUCAUUUCUCAAGAUAAUCUAUUUCCCUCUUCUUCAUUUCUGCUUCUAUUCUUUCUUCUUCUGUAUUUGUUUCUGAGUUCUUAGCUCGCAUAGUAGAACACAAACCAGUUCAUGGUAUUAGAGCCG
rnacentral:lncRNA from 1 species